UCGUCAGUGCGGUACAUCCUGACCUGCCCCGCCCUGCGGGCAGCACGUGAUGAGCGCGUGCGAAUGACGUCGUGAUUACGUCACGGGGAGGGCGGGGCACACGCAACAAGGCCCCGCCCUUUCAUCCCCGAG